AUGAUGGCCUGGGAAGGCGCCAUUGGGAUCGAUCUUGGCACGACCUACUCCUGCGUCGCCGUCUGGCAGAACGGCCACGUCGAGAUCGUCGCCAACGAGCAAGGCAACAGAACCACCCCAUCCUACGUUGCCUUCACCAGCUCCAAGCGCCUCAUCGGGGAUGCGGCCAAGAACCAGGCCGAUAUGAAUCCGGCUAACACAAUCUUCGAUUCCAAGCGGCUCAUUGGUAGGAGAUUUACUGAUGCUUCUGUACAGAAUGACAUUAAGCACUGGCCCUUCAAGGUCAUUUCUGGACCUGAAGACAAGCCUAUGAUUGCUGUUAAAUACAAGGGUGUGGAGCAGCAAUUCGCAGCUGAAGAGAUUUCCUCAAUGGUUCUCGUCAGGAUGCGGGAGACAGCUGAAGCCUACCUUGGCAGCACCAUCAAGAAUGCUGUUGUCACUGUUCCUGCUUGCUCCACCGACUUGCAGCGGCAGGCCACCUGGAAUGCAGGAGUGCUUGCUAGUCUGAAUGUAAUGCGUAUCAUCCCUGAGCCGACUGCUGCUGCUAUGGCUUAUGGCCUUCACAACAAGGUUACCGAGUGGGGUGUGGUAGAGAAUGCUCUCGUCUUUGACCUUGGAGGUGGUACCUUUGAUGUCUCCCUUGUCGAGAUCGAGUUUUAUAUUUUUGAGGUCCUGGCCACAGCUGGCGACCCUCACCUUGGUGGUGAGGACUUUGACAACCGCAUGGUGAACCACUUCGUCCAAGAGUUUAAAAGAAAGAAGAAAAAGGACAUCAGUGGCAACCCCAGGGCUCUUAGGAGACUGAGGACAGCCUGCGAGAGGGCGAAGAGAACCCUCUCCUCCACUGAAGAGGCCGUCAUUGAGAUCAGUUGUUUGUAUGAGGACAUCGACUUCUACUCAACCAUCACCCGUGCCAGGUUUGAGGAGCUCAACAUGGAUCUCUUCAGGAAGUGUAUGGACAUUGUGGAGGACUGCCUCAGGGAUGCUCGCAUGGACAUGAGCUCAGUUCAUGCUGUUGUUCUUAUUGGUGGCUCCUCUAGAAUUCCAAAGAUUCAGCAGCUUCUUCAGGAGCUCUUCAACGGGAAGGAGCUUUAUAAGAGCAUCAACCCUGACGAAGCUGUUGCCUAUGGUGCUGCUUUACAGGCUGCCCUUUUGACCGGACCGAACAACGACAAUGAGGGUUGGAUGAGCGACCUCCUUUUGUUGGAUGCUACCCCACUUUCUCUUGGUUUGGGGACGAAAGGGGGCGACAUGACAGUGAUGAUUCCAAAGAACAGGGCGAUCCCCGUCAAGACGGAGAUAGUCAUAUCUACCGACUAUGACAACCAACCUUGUAUCCGUAUCCAGGUUUACGAGGGUGAAGGUGCCAAGACUUGCGACAAUAACCUGUUGGGCGAGUUUGAGUUCUCCAUUCCUCCAGCAUCCAAAGGCGUUCCACAAAUAAUUGUGUGCUUCGACAUUGAUGCCAACGGUAUCCUGGAUGUCUCUGCCAAGGACAAAAACACUGGUGAGAAGAAGAAGGUCACCAUCAACAAGAGGUUCCAUUUAAAACAAUAA
rnacentral:rRNA from 1 species